GGCGCUAUAGUGUAGUGGCAGCACAUGGGAUUCUGAUGUCGAACAUGUUUACGUAGACGGUGAUUUUCCCAUAACCCAGGUUCGACCCCUGGUAGUGCCU